rnacentral:rRNA from 1 species
GACUGCUAAUACCGAAUGAUGUCGUAAGACCAAAGAUUUUAUCGCCCAGGGAUUGAGCCCGCGUAGGAUUAGCUAGUUGGUGUGGUAAAGGCGCACCAAGGCGACGAUCCUUAGCUGGUCUGAGAGGAUGAUCAGCCACACUGGGACUGAGACACGGCCCAGACUCCUACGGGAGGCAGCAGUGGGAAUAUUGGACAAUGGCGAAAGCCUGAUCCAGCAAUGCCGCGUGAGUGAUGAAGGCCUUAGGGUUGUAAAGCUCUUUACCCGGGAUGAUAAUGACAGUACCGGGAGAAUAAGCUCCGGCUAACUCCGUG